AGACAAUGUUGCUUUGUCUCUUCUUUUCGUUAUCUCUCUUUUCGACAUUUAUAGACAAUGGAAGUGCUGGUAUAACAAGUGCAUUCGUUCGAACUCAGUUUCCGUCUGUUGAUAUUCCCCUUGAAAAUGAAGUACUUUCAGUUCCAAAUGGUUAUAACGCUCCACAGCAAGUGCAUAUUACACAAGGUGACUAUGAUGGGGAAGCUGUCAUUAUCUCAUGGGUAACUGCUGAUGAACCAGGGUCUAGCGAAGUGCGAUAUGGCUUAUCUGAAGGGAAAUAUGAUGUUACUGUUGAAGGGACUCUAAAUAACUAUACAUUCUACAAGUAUGAGUCUGGUUACAUACAUCAGUGCCUUGUAACUGGCCUUCAGUAUGACACAAAGUACUACUAUGAAAUUGGAAAAGG
rnacentral:misc_RNA from 1 species